rnacentral:misc_RNA from 1 species
UUUCCGUAGGUGAACCUGCGGAAGGAUCAUUACAGAGUUCAUGCCCUCACGGGUAGAUCUCCCACCCUUGAAUAUUUAUACCUUAGUUGCUUUGGCAGGCCGUGGAAACACUAUGGGCUCCGGCUUAUGCGUGCCUGCCAGAGGAAACAAACUCUGUUUUUAGUGAUGUCAGAGUACUAUAUAAUAGUUAAAACUUUCAACAACGGAUCUCUUGGUUCUG